rnacentral:miRNA from 1 species
UUCUAAGUCAAUCUCUAAAUC